rnacentral:snoRNA from 1 species
CACAUGCUCCUUAGAUCCAUCUUUGUGAGUAUCUUUGUGCUGAGUUCUGCUGGAUAACUUCAGUUUCUAGCAGUUCCAGUCAGAGAUACUCAGCAACUUUUUGGUUGUACAGUCAAAGAUGCUUGAGUCAUUGGCAUGUAAGAGAACUAUAACUGCAUGUUAGCUUUCUGUUCUGAUAGAAGUGGCUGUAAAUAUACAAGUCAUUUAUCACUAUCGGGACUUUGCUGGUAUGCAGACAUG